rnacentral:lncRNA from 1 species
AUGGCUCCCCAGUGCGCUCACACCUGUGAACCAACGAGGCGCGCAGGGGAGAUCAGGAAAAGCCGGUUUCCUGGCUGCGCUGGCAUUUGCUCAAAGGAACGUGAAACUCAAGACUCUCAUGGUGUUCAUUUAAUAUCGAACAGAAACGCUGGCGAGGAUGUGGUGGAAGACAGCGGAAUGGGAGGAAGACACGCAGCCUCCCUUCGAAUCCUGCGUGUCCAAACCAGCCUGAAGUCGCUCUGGGUGCCCAUGUUUGGAGGGCACCAGGACUGCGCUGCCCUCAAAGGUGACAGAGCUGGAGGUGAGGCCAGCGUGUUCCCAGCCCGUGCUCCCCCUGCAGUCAUUAUGCCCUCUUCUGCCGGCUGCUGCCUGAGACCACCAACAGCAACGGGGCUUUGCCACCAAACGCAGUCCCGCCUGCAUGAGGACAUGUGCAUCACAGACGACCAUGUUUAAGUCAGGACUACAACAGACCCGAAAAAUUCCUAGUGACGUCGCAGCCACUGGAGUGUCCCAGGGCAACACAUUACUCACGUGUUUGCAUGACGCUGGUGUAAACGCGCCUGCUGCAUCGCCAGCCAUAUAAAACCACAGCACCUGCAAUUAUGAGUGGCACAUAAUGCUUGGUGACGGUGACGAGCACCGAUGUCACUGGUUUAUGCAUUUACUACACUUUGAUCAUUGUGUUUGGAAAGCGCUCCCUCCAUCUUGCUGGAUCACCAGUCCCGGGAGGCCACGUGCAGGGACUGACCACGGAUGUGUGCGUGCGCUCUGUGAUGGCCACACAGUGACACGUGGCUCAGGGCACACCCCCUCAUUCAGCAGCACGUAACCGUAGCUGUCACUCUGGGCACAGGCCCCAAAGGGUCUGGUGGCCAUUUGUGGAGGGAGGAGAGGACCCCGCCCUCUCCCUGUGCAGGGUCCCUCUUUAAGAUGUUGGCUUCCGGAGGGCUCACGGGGUGCUGGGGAGGGCUGGCUCGGGACUCAUCUGCUUGGGGUGUGAGGCAGGUGGGGUGGAGGGGAACUGAGACCAAGGCUUAGGUGGGGGACCACCAGGAAGCAUUCUGCAGCAAGUGAGAGCGCCCCCUCCGGCCCCGCGUCGGUAUCACACGCAGGGUAGGAUGCACCGUUCCACCGCGUUGCACGUGCAGGUUGGUGCCAGUCAGCUCCUUCGCUCUGCCCAUUGCCUUUCCUACCUGCAGCCACAGACCCUCCACCUUGCAAAACUGAAACUCUGAACCCAAACUCCAGACACGACUCCCCCGCGCCCCUCCCCAGCCCCUGGCAACCACCACUCCACUUUCCCUCUGUGAUUUGCUCCGCCGAGGUGACCUCUCUGGAAUACUGCUUGUCCUUGUCUCACCUGCUUAUUUUACCCAGCAAAAUGUCCUUAGGGUUCCCCCUUCUGACACAUGUGGCCAGCGAACCUCAGAUUUCUUUCUGUUGGAAGGCAGAG